GAUUAACGCUGGCGGCGUGCAUAACACAUGCAAGUCGAACGAUGAAACUUUAAUGAACCCUUCGGGGAGAAUUAAAGCGGAUUAGUGGCGAACGGGUGAGUAACGCGUGAGUAACCUGCCUUACACAAGGGGAUAGCCUUUGGAAACGAAGAAUAAUACCCUAUAAAACCAUAAAAGCACAUGCAAUUAUGGUCAAAGUGAUAGCGGUGUAAGAUGGACUUGCGUCUGAUUAGCUAGUUGGUGAGAUAAAAGCCCACCAAGGCAACGAUCAGUAGCCGGCUUGAGAGAGUGGACGGCCACAUUGGGACUGAGACACGGCCCAGACUCCUACGGGAGGCAGCAGUGGGGAAUUUUGCACAAUGGGGGAAACCCUGAUGCAGCGACGCCGCGUGAUUUAGAAGGCCUUCGGGUUGUAAAAAUCUUUUGUAUAGGAAGAAAAUGACAGUACUAUACGAAUAAGGUCCGGCUAAUUACGUG
rnacentral:rRNA from 1 species